rnacentral:antisense_RNA from 1 species
UUCUUUUUGUGCUUCUUCUAUAUCUUUUUCUACUUUGUUAAU